UAUGUGUUAUGAUUGGAUGAUAUAGAAAUAUCCUGGUUUGAUUGGAUAUAAAUAAUGAGUCGAAAUGUUCCUCUUUGUCACACACUGUGCAGAUGCUCUGUAUGAUUGUCUGACUUUCUUGCAAGAAUAAACCCUGUUUUUUUCUUAUUCUACAAUACUCUCUGAGUUAUUGCUUCACAAUAAGAGUUGGAAACAUUUUUCCAUAACAAAGAGAGCGUCUCAGAGUGAAGUUCUCAUGGCGUCUCUCCAUACAUUGGUGAUUCUGUGCAUUUGUGCCACAGCCCUGUGUUUGCCAACAUCUUCACUCACAGGCAAUACAGAGAUUGAUGUGGAUAAUGGAAAAGACCUGGAUAUAUUUGAAAUUAAUGAAGCGGCAGGACUUGACCUGGUGGAAGGAGACAUUCUGAUAAAGGAGGUCAGUGUUUUCUUUGAGCAAAUUCUCAUGUCACUUUCCUGAAACAGGAUACAAAGUGGGGCCUGAAUCUCC